AUGACUCUCGGCAAAGGAUAUCUUGGUCCUCGCAUCGAUGAAGAACGUAGCGAAAUGCGAUACUUGGUGUGAAUUGCAGAAUCCCGUGAACCAUCGAGUUUUUGAACGCAAGUUGCGCCCUAAGCUUCCGGGCCGAGGGCAAGCCUGCGUGGG
rnacentral:rRNA from 1 species